rnacentral:rRNA from 1 species
GGUUAAGCGACUAAGCGUACACGGUGGAUGCCCUGGCAGUCAGAGGCGAUGAAGGGCGUGCUAAUCUGCGAUAAGCGCCGGUAAGGUGAUAUGAACCGUUAUAACCGGCGAUACCCGAAUGGGGAAACCCAGUGUGACUCGUCACACUAUCAUUAACUGAAUCCAUAGGUUA